rnacentral:rRNA from 1 species
AGGCCUAACACAUGCAAGUCGAGCGGUAACACAAGGGAGCUUGCUCCUGAGGUGACGAGCGGCGGACGGGUGAGUAAUGCCUAGGUAUCUGCCCAGUCGAGGGGGAUAACAGUUGGAAACGACUGCUAAUACCGCAUACGCCCUACGGGGGAAAGGAGGGGACCUUCGGGCCUUCCGCGAUUGGAUGAACCUAGGUGGGAUUAGCUAGUUGGUGAGGUAAUGGCUCACCAAGGCGACGAUCCCUAGCUGGUCUGAGAGGAUGAUCAGCCACACUGGAACUGAGACACGGUCCAGACUCCUACGGGAGGCAGCAGUGGGGAAUAUUGCACAAUGGGCGAAAGCCUGAUGCAGCCAUGCCGCGUGUGUGAAGAAGGCCUUCGGGUUGUAAAGCACUUUCAGCGAGGAGGAAAGGUUAAGUCUUAAUACGGCUUAGCUGUGACGUUACUCGCAGAAGAAGCACCGGCUAACUUCGUGCCAGCAGCCGCGGUAAUAC